GGAAAAAUUGCCGAGCGGUUAAAGGCGGUAGAUUGUAAAUCUACUCUGUUUCAGUUCGUUGGUUCGAAUCCAACUUUUUCCA
rnacentral:tRNA from 1 species